UGAACAGCAUACGACUAAAGGCACCUCCUUAAUCGAAAGCCAACAUCACCACCUGCUGCACUGCCUGGAAAAAACAACUGGAUUGUCCUAUCUUGUGGAUGAUCCCCUGUUAUCUGUACGAACUUCCACCAUCAAGAACCACGAGUUCAUAGAUGAGCAACUGUUCGAGCAGAACUGCAUGGAAAGCUCAAUGCAGAACUACCCAUCUUCUCGGAGCCCCUCCUUGUCAAGUCACCAUGGCCUGACCACCUCUUGCUGUUCUCGCCGUAACAAGAAGACCACGCACCUUCCCAACUCCAGUGUGCCAGCCACCCGCCUCCGCAGCAUGCAGGAGCUCAGCACCAUCCACAUCCAGUGCAGUGAGCAGCCCUCGCUUACAACCAGUCGUUCCAGUCUCAACAUGAAAUCAGAUGAUGGGCUGCGACCGAACUGCAAAGCCGCCCAGAUAACCACAGCCAUCAUCAGCAUCCCCACGCCGCCGGCGCUCACACCAGAAGGUGAGAGCAGACCUCCACCCAGCAGCCCCGGCCACUCCACGAACAUUUCUACCACCACCACGAGCAACAUAGUCAAGGUCUCUGCCUUGUAAGAUGUCUCAUGCACGGAAGGCGGCUGAAAGACCGGUGCCCCUCUCCCUCCACACCUCCAUGUUCCUUUCUUGCUGCAAAUUGUGCCUGGAUGGAUGAACCUGCUGGCUGGUCAUUGGGUUAGCGACGGAGACCCAACGAGGCAGCUUUCUUCAGACUCAAGGACCUGCUGUGGGACUGAGGAAGGAUAAGGAGAGGGAGGAAGAACCUUGUUAACAGUAAAACCCACGUGGAGAGCGCGUUGUGCUGUGGGACAGGGCAGAAAGCACCUGGGAGGCUGAAGGGAAAGAACCGUCGUGGCAACAAGAGAGUAAUAAAGAAAAUAGAAAUAUAACACUGUGUAUCGCAGCACCUUUUUAAAGGUUUUUAAUGGAUAAUAUUUAUUCAUGAGGAAAUGACUGAAAAAGGUGAAAAACAAUGGAUUUUGUGAAUUUUUUUUCUCCAUGGAGCAGAACCUUUAAGCCAACCAAAACUUCACGUUAUUUUAUUUUAUUUUUUUUCUUUUAUUAGGAAAAGAUUUAGACAAAGAAGCCACCUGUCACAGAAACCUAUUCCCAUCCCUGUGUGUGUGUGUGAGUGUGAGUGUGCAGCAGAGCCACGUCAGAGCAGCACUGCAUUUCAAAGGCUAGAGCAUGUUGUCAUCACUGGGUGCACAGUAGGAAAACACAAGCAUGUGCCAGCACAUACGUGCACACGCACACACACACACACACAGCUAUUUCACCCUGGAUGGCAUUCUUUAUUUAGACACUUUUGUAUCCGCCUUUUAAGUCAAUACAGUGCAAUUGCAAACAGUGUGUUUGUCUGCUAAUUAUUGUCUGUGAAAACAUAUUUGUGAAAAGAAACAAACAAACAAAAAAAAAAGACAGGCUGCAGUAGAGUUUUAGUCCCACAUGGGUAUCUGCUUUCUAUUUUUGUUAUCACUUACUUGUAAGAUGUGACUAGACUACCAGUUCUGUAUUUUUAAAAAGGAAAAACAAAAAAAAAAGAUAGGAUUUUUUUUAAUACUGUACACACAAAUGGCAAAGAAUGAGAAAACACUGAACUCAGCUGCAUCAAGCAUUAUUAAGUCUGACAGAGGUUUCUUGUAAUGUAUGCCCAUGCAUUUUUAUUUUUGUUUUCUAUAUGCUGAAUUUCUUUGCUAGCACUGAACAUACAACCCAUUGUAAAUAGUAGCCAAAUAACGUCUGGAUCUAUACUUGAUAAUAAUUAACCCCAAAGCCAAAUAUCCUGCAUGGACGGAGAGGUAUUUGGCUUUUUUUCACAGUCUAGGUGCUCCAGAUGUCUCAUCAAUGACUUCUGGGUUGCACUGACUUUGGGGGUAGACUAGGCUAGCAAUUUUAGUUACCCAUUGCCAGCACAGGAUCUACAGCAUGCACCCACUGGAGAAGUGGGAGCAGCACUGGAUUUUGGAAAGUAUUUGACAAAAUGUGUUACAGACAGCAUUUUCUUUUUGCAGUU